rnacentral:rRNA from 1 species
UACGAAGGGGGCUAGCGUUGCUCGGAAUUACUGGGCGUAAAGGGAGCGUAGGCGGACUGUUAAGUUAGAGGUGAAAGCCCAGGGCUCAACCUUGGAAUUGCCUUUGAUACUGGCAGUCUUGAGUACGGAAGAGGUAUGUGGAACUCCGAGUGUAGAGGUGAAAUUCGUAGAUAUUCGGAAGAACACCAGUGGCGAAGGCGACAUACUGGUCCGUUACUGACGCUGAGGCUCGAAAGCGUGGGGAAGCAAACAGGG